UACAGAGGGUGCAAGCGUUAAUCGGAAUUACUGGGCGUAAAGCGUGCGCAGACGGUUGCGUAAGUCAGAUGUGAAAGCCCCGGGCUCAACCUGGGAAUUGCAUUUGAGACUGCGUAGCUAGGGUGCGGAAGAGGGAAGCGGAAUUUCCGGUGUAGCGGUGAAAUGCGUAGAUAUCGGAAGGAACACCAGUGGCGAAAGCGGCUUCCUGGUCCAGCACCGACGUCAGGCACGAAAGCGUGGGGAGCGAACAGG
rnacentral:rRNA from 1 species